rnacentral:rRNA from 1 species
UACGGGGGGAGCAAACGUUGUUCGGAAUCACUGGGCGUAAAGCGCACGUAGGCGGAUUGCUAAGUCAGGGGUGAAAUCCUGGAGCUCAACUCCAGAACUGCCUUUGAUACUGGCGACCUUGAGUCCGGGAGAGGUGAGUGGAACUGCGAGUGUAGAGGUGAAAUUCGUAGAUAUUCGCAAGAACACCAGUGGCGAAGGCGGCUCACUGGCCCGGUACUGACGCUGAGGUGCGAAAGCGUGGGGAGCAAACAGGG